rnacentral:rRNA from 1 species
GAUGAGCGCUGGCGGCGUGCCUAAUACAUGCAAGUCGAGCGAACGGACGAGAAGCUUGCCUCUCUGAUGUUAGCGGCGGACGGGUGAGUAACACGUGGAUAACCUACCUAUAAGACUGGGAUAACUUCGGGAAACCGGAGCUAAUACCGGAUAAUAUUUUGAACCGCAUGGUUCAAAAGUGAAAGACGGUCUUGCUGUCACUUAUAGAUGGAUCCGCGCUGCAUUAGCUAGUUGGUAAGGUAACGGCUUACCAAGGCAACGAUGCAUAGCCGACCUGAGAGGGUGAUCGGCCACACUGGAACUGAGACACGGUCCAGACUCCUACGGGAGGCAGCAGUAGGGAAUCUUCCGCAAUGGGCGAAAGCCUGACGGAGCAACGCCGCGUGAGUGAUGAAGGUCUUCGGAUCGUAAAACUCUGUUAUUAGGGAAGAACAUAUGUGUAAGUAACUGUGCACAUCUUGACGGUACCUAAUCAGAAAGCCACGGCUAACUACGUG